AUUUUAUUGUGGUUAACCCAUUACUGAAAAAUCAAUUUUUAUUAAUUAUAGAUUACGGAUAGCAUGUGUUUUAAGUCUUACGUGGCUAAAUGCGUAUGGUCGUGACGUCGUCGCACGACUUUGAUCCAAUAAAGAAUCUGUAGAAACCUAUUAAACUGUUUGUUGAUAUUUUGAUUCAGUGUUAUGGCUAUCGUUGUCAAUACAUAUCGUCGGUGCACAUACAUUACUAAUUUCUCGCUGAAACAAGUCACAUGGGUGGAUCCGGAUACAGUUGAACACCUUUGUAUAAAAUAACUAAUUUGGAUUAUUACCAAUACUAGCUUUUGUUAAGUCACGAAACAAAUACAGCUCCAUAUUGUUAUAAACAGAAUAUUUGACCAAUAUAAAUCUAACCGCAGGUUAAAAAAUAGAAUGUGUCUGGACAUUUAAUCCUCCUAAUCUUCCGAGGCUUUUUAUUUGUAUUUCUCUUUUAUGUUCAUAAACAAUGCAUCAGUGGAAUUAUGUUCAAUCUUUUAAUUUUAAGGUUGAAUAGUGAGGAAUAAAAAUUUAAAAUUUAAUUGCCGACUGCUUUGAGUAAAUAUCUAUUGAUUUCAUUUUUUUUUUCAAGAGAUUAAAUAUAAUAAUUAUUUAACGAUUAAUGUGGGCGAUAAGAAUUUUGUAUAUACAGAUAUUUUAACACAAGAUGUGAUCAAAUUAACAGUAAAGGGAGAAAUGGAGUAUGACUUAUUUUCAAAAGCUGGAC
rnacentral:lncRNA from 1 species